AAGUGCCAGAAUAAGCAACAGCGGGGCUGGGAUGAGAGAGCCUUUCCCAGCCUUCAUUCACCACACCAAGCUCUGAAGGAGAAGCACCUGCCGUCCGUAAUACACUGCCAGUUCAGUCUGACACACAGGACAGACAAGAUGAUAGCGACAGCCAGAGUCAUAGCCGUCCUGCUGAUCUCUGCCCAGUUACAGCUCACAGCUACUACUACUACAUCACCAGCUACUACUACUACAUCACCAG